UGGGGAAUCUUCCGCAAUGGACGAAAGUCUGACGGAGCAACGCCGCGUGAGUGAAGACGGCCUUCGGGUUGUAAAGCUCUGUGAUUCGGGACGAAAGGCCAUAUGUGAAUAAUAUAUGGAAAUGACGGUACCGAAAAAGCAAGCCACGGCUAACUACGUGCCAGCAGCCGCGGUAAUACGUAGGUGGCAAGCGUUGUCCGGAAUUAUUGGGCGUAAAGGGCCUGUAGGCGGUUGGCCGCGUCUGCCGUGAAAUCCUCUGGCUUAACUGGGGGCGUGCGGUGGGUACGGGUUGACUUGAGUGCGGUAGGGGAGACUGGAAUUCCUGGUGUAGCGGUGGAAUGCGCAGAUAUCAGGAGGAACACCGGUGGCGAAGGCGGGUCUCUGGGCCGUUACUGACGCUGAGGAGCGAAAGCGUGGGGAGCGAACAGG
rnacentral:rRNA from 1 species